GACGAACGCUGGCGGCGUGCUUAACACAUGCAAGUCGAGCGGAAAGGCCCUUCGGGGUACUCGAGCGGCGAACGGGUAAGUAACACGUGAGUAAUCUGCCCUUGGCUUUGGGAUAACUACCGGAAACGGUGGCUAAUACCGGAUACGACAACCGUCUGCAUGGGCUGGUUGUGGAAAGUUUUUUCGGCCAGGGAUGUGCUCGCGGCCUAUCAGCUUGUUGGUGGGGUAAUGGCCUACCAAGGCUUCGACGGGUAGCCGGCCUGAGAGGGUGACCGGCCACACUGGGACUGAGACACGGCCCAGACUCCUACGGGAGGCAGCAGUGGGGAAUAUUGGACAAUGGGCGGAAGCCUGAUCCAGCAACGCCGCGUGAGGGAUGACGGCCUUCGGGUUGUAAACCUCUUUCAGUACCGACGAAGCGCCGAUGAUGGUGGUGACGGUAGGUACAGAAGAAGCACCGGCCAACUACGUG
rnacentral:rRNA from 1 species